UUUGGCUACGAAUACCCGCGUUGCAUGCUGGGAAUGCCGGUGGUGUGGGCGCAGACUCGCGCCCGGGUGGUGUCUCAUUACACUGUUGAUCUGACUCCUGCAUGUUGUCUGCUCUAUCUGAGGAUGGCAAAACCCCUGAUAAAAGGUUAACAUUUUAGUAUUCGGCCUCUAAGAAAACGGACAAAAAAUAUCCAGACAAACUUGAAUAAUCUAAUGUCUCACUGAAGUGUGGUAGGGAGAGAAGUGGACCCUGAACUUGAAGUGUGUCAGUUGUUACAUAAUGCCACAAUCGAGGGGUUAUUAUUAACUCCAGGUAUUGAUUUUUGAUAUGUCAUCAAUAUUUCAAUUCAUUUAUCAAGUCAUAAACUCCAGUACGAUUGUUAGCAUGCUCCUGUUUAUUAGAAGACAUGUAUGGAAGCGUUUAAGAGAUUAAAUGAAGACCUUUAUUUCUAAAAUAGGCUAAAUCUUAUCUUUGAUUACCUGUCACAUUUUUGAAUGUGACAGGUGUCACAAGUUUCCCACUUGUGAAUUAGGUCUUUCGAUUUCUGGUUGCCAUAUUUCCUUGGAACAGUUUUCAGUAAGCUGAAGCUAUCAUAUUUUCUGGCUUCCAUAGCGAUUAUAAAUGUGCCUUGAGUUCUGCAGUUACAUCCUGCAUUCGGCGAAAACGGAGUGAAAACCCUCUUCUCUUCAUUAAUGCAAAGGUCUUUAGUGAUAUUUUACAGCUGAGCUACACAAAAUCAUUUUAAAACUUUAAGGAAAUUAAUUACUUUUGCCAGAGUUGAUAGACUGUUUGGGCAUCAUUUGUAGUUAAUUCUGUGUCUGUAAUUAAACAGCAAGUAGUUUCACAUAUCCUUACAUCCACACAGAAUGGUUGAUAUGCUUUCACACACAUGAAAAAGAUCCUCCUGCCACCUACUAUCCAGUUCAGAGAGCAACUGAAACGCAGGCAUGGCGAUACGUUAAGCCCUAGCACGGCACAAGCCCAGGACCUACCACACAAACAGCUGUGAAAUCUGAUUACUGGGCACUCCUGAUUAAGGUGCCACGAUAUUCUGCAAGUGGACAAACUCUAUAGUAUAGCAAACAUUUGCACGAAAGAGAACAAAAAAGAUAAAUUGUUUCUUCUUCUAUGAAUGAAUCUCUGCACGGUUGGCACAUGCUAAAUGGUGCUUAAAACCAUGAAGCCCCAGCACUGUGGGUCUGAGUGGCCCCAACAGUGUGGGGUCUGAGUGCAGUGCGGGGAUCCUUGCUGCUCAACACGCCCGGUAGGUCUUGUUUAUUGGCCAGCAUGAGCGGCAGGUUUUUCAGGCAUUCAUUCUCCAGGACGUACCAGUCCAGUUCCAGUCUGGCAUUGGCUUGCUGCCCUGUCCUGGAAGUCCACCACAAACACCAGCCCGGCCGUGUCCUGGCAGCAGUGCAUCCAGUGGGCCCUCAUCUGGCAUGGGACUCUUCUGUCACAAGCAGGGUGGAAUUAUCAGACCCGUGGAGGCUGAGCUUCGGAAUCCAAGCCUCUGACAAGUCAGGACUCUCCUCGGACCGUCGGCUGCCUCUCCUGAGCGCAGUGGGGAAGCGCCGGAGCCGAAGGAGUCUUUUAUACUGCGCGGAUAAAACAGCGAGCAAGGGAAAGAGGUCAAAGUACAGGACACGGGGAACCGGCUGCUUCAGGGAACGGUUCCUCAGCUGCAACCAAUCAGGGAGGAGUGCUGCCAUGGAGAAACAGCAUGGGACUCGAGUUUCACACAGCAUUCAACGGCAUACCUGUCGCAAGCCGCUGGCCACCGGGGGUUCCUUCACUGUCGGGCUGCACCCACGUUCCAGUUAGCGUGCUUUCAAGUGAUAAUAUCGGGCCAAUGAGGUCAUCUAAUAUCAGAUAUUUUCGUGAACUGACUCAAGUCCCAUCUGAUAUUAUCAUCAAAACUUGAGCAUUCUCUUGGCUGGACUCUUCCCUAGAUGUGGGGAAAGUGAAAGAAUGUUCCACAUUAUACAGUCCUCCUUUUAAAUCAGUAAGCAUAUCACUAAACUGUAAGCAUGAACAGUGUGAUUAAUGUCACGGGCAUAGCACUCGGACAGAAGUGAUUCAUCUUUGGUGAUGUGUACAAUAAAACGUCACGCAGGAUGAUUUAUAGUUCAAAACGCACUGCAUAUAGAUCUCGCUGCCCAGCAACAAGAUGUUUAGCCUCAAAACAAUCUGCAGACACUAAACUACGUCUCUAUCGAGAGUUCACAGCCAUUAACAACCUGGACAAUAUCCUUUUAGCAUGCUAAAACUCCUGGCACCCUUAUAUACCGUUGGGUCAAAAACAUUCAUCGUAAGAUUUGAAUAAUUUUCCUUCUCUGUAAAACGGGAUCAUCUCUAAAAUAUAACCUUUGGCAGUUAAAACCUUUGGCAGUUUUCUACAUUUAAUUGGAUGGAUUCUACACUAAAACAGCAGAUGUAUUUUAUGAACACACAGACAAAUUCUCAUUUUAAUGCACUUUUUAUUGUCACAUUUUUAUGUUUUCUUUUUUCUUUAAAUUCACAGAAUUUUCUUUUUAAUAUUUCAUUAAUUCAACAAAACAAACACAAGCGCCACAAACAUUAUAUAACACGUACUGUAUUCUGGAGGAAUAUACAACCAAAAAACUCACAUAAAAAGACUAUCAACUAUUAAAUCUCUUCUGAUAUUAAUAAACCAGAGUCUGAUGCAUUACUCUUUUUAUAUUAUUGGUAUUGAGGUUAAUGAUAUUCAAUAUGUACAUUCAACUUUAUUAGUUUAAUAUGCAAAAUACCAUAUUUACAUUUCAUGUGCAUGGCAACAGAAUGUAAUAAAAUCAAAAUGUUGGGCUAGGGGUAAAAUCUUUUUUUUAAAGCAAAGAAACUCUACUAUAAUGUUUUAAUCUAAAUAAGGCAACGGGAACCCCUUUUUUGAAGGCCUAUUGGAGCAAUGUUAGUUUUUAGAAGAAUUUGGUUGCACAGACUUAUCCACAUGCAUGUGCAUUUGUCGGGUUUUUUGAUUUGUGCUGCUGCGCUGGUAGGAGGCCCGCACACGCGCACGCACACACACACGCACACACAGCCUGAGACGGCCGCAGCCCCGUUCUAUCCUUCAUUACAUCUCUAGUGCAAACAGGUCGGUGAACAAAUCCAGGAGUGCAUGACAUGGUAAAAGAUUCUCAGUGACGGCAGCAUGGGGACUUCUUGUCCAGUCACAGGCCGUCUUACUGGAUAUAUGUUUAUUACGUCUGUUAAACUCCUCCCUUGGUGUACGUAUUUUAAACCUAUUAGGUUAUACGGGCUAGCAGGCUAAACCGGUAUACACUCGCAAUCUAGGACACUGUGCUAAGGCGUUUCAAUUAAAACAAUCCGUUAAGAACUCUGAACCAAGUAAUGUGUGUGAGAAAACGGUGAAGCAGUUGUGCAAGAGUAGUGCAGCACUAUACACUCCCACGACUGACCAGGUCUCAGCCUGCAAUACUACCACUGUACUGAGAAAACCUACAAAUCAAAUUAAAAUGACAUAUUAAACAAAAACAAACUCUUGGACUGUGUUGACAUAAUGGGCAAAACUGUUUUAAGUACUCAGAGAUUUUAAAAAGAAAGAAAGAAAACACAGGCCCUCAUAAAAACGUCCAAAACAGAUUUACAAGAUUUUCUCCUAACAGCAACGAUGGUGGCUACUACAAAAGGUGAUAGUGAAUUCUACCGCAAAAGCACUGCUUUUAACACGAUUACUCUUCAGGGAGUGGCCCGUCGCACCAGGUCCUCACAUUCCUCCUUCGGCUCUGCUGUGGUUGCUGAAAUGGCACCAAACUAAAGCCGGUCCCUGGGACUCACGGGGCGGCCCACAUUUUUGCUCCAGCCCGUAUUCCAGCGCACCUGAAUACCUGGUACAGGUGUAGCGCGUGCUGGGUUGGAACAAACCCAUGGACUGGCUGGUGCACCGUGGGGACUGGCCUGGUGAGCAGUGCACCAUUAGACACCAUUCCACUAGGUCCAAAAGCUCAUUUUUUUUAAAUCUUGUUUCCCUCUCUCCUUCAAGAACUAUUUAAAACUAGAGAUUUAAAAUGAUGUAGGAUAAUGAGGGCUAUAAUGGUUGUAUACUAUUUGCUGUUAGUUUAAUAAGAAACAGUUCUUGCUGCAAAAAUAGUCAUGAAACGCUUUUCCUUUUGCACCUUAAAUCUAUGCAUACAUUAAUUUGUAAUUUUUAAAAAAAAA